rnacentral:rRNA from 1 species
UACGUAGGUGGCCAGCGUUGUCCGGAUUUACUGGGCGUCAAGAGCGCGCAGGCGGUCGUUCAAGUCGCGUGUGAAAGCCCCCGGCUCAACUGGGGAGGGUCACGCGAUACUGAUCGACUCGAAGGCAGGAGAGGGAAGUGGAAUUCCCGGUGUAGUGGUGAAAUGCGUAGAUAUCGGGAGGAACACCAGUGCCGAAGGCGACUUCCUGGCCUGUUCUUGACGCUGAGGCGCGAAAGCUAGGGGAGCAAACGGG